GGUCUGAGUAUUUUUUUUGAAACAUUAGAAAGUUUUGUGUCCCUUUUUCAAAUGUUGAGAGUCUCUAUGUCCCUUAUUCAAACAUUAAGAUUCUCUGUAUUCUUUUCCCUAAUUAUUAUUACUAGGUUUCCCUUUUUUUUUUUAAAGGUCGGUCAAGGCCGGCCACCAAAUUUCAUGCUUAAUGUGAAACACAGUGAAAGGCCAGGGCACGGCACUAUUGCUAAACUGCUGAUGCGGAUGGCAGUAGCGUCACAUCAUGUGCUGUCAAUAUGAAAUCAAUUGCAUCCACUAUAUAUCAACUUCAAAAGUUUUAUUUAAAAACAUUGAUAUUUGUAUUACAAUGAAAAAUGUUAUUGAUUUUUAUUUAGUCCUGCCCAUAUACAAGAGAAAUGUCUAUCUUUAUUGACCUUAUGUAAUUAUAUAAUUAGGAGGGAUAUGAGUCCUAAUACAUGCUACGACUAGAACUUGGCUCUCUAAAUCAUAAUUAGGCUACAACAUAAAAAAAUCAUUAGUGUAUUAAUUGACAACUAUUGUGAAACAAAAUCAUUAGCUUUUAACUAGCUCUAACUGCCAUAUAUAAGUGAGCAAGUCAUCGACAAAUAUUUGCUAUAUGUAUAUCUAAAAUUAUAUCUAUUUGUACAGCUAAUUUGUAACUAUUAGAUUGAAGACAUUUCAACAAUCAAGAUUUUAGAAAAUUAUAGCAUAAAGGUUUAAUAACAAUAGCAAUUAUCAUACUUUCUUUUUCCCCAUCAAUUUCCUUGUAAAAUAUGAUUUCUCUUUUCUGAGUCUACUCAAUAAUUUUUUUUUUCCCAUUCUUCUUUUCUCAUGAUCUCAUCACUAAGCCUCUAAAUUUACCCAUUGAAUAUAUCAUUAAAAAAUCCACAAACAAGAGUGGCUUGCUUAGUCAUGGAUGCUAUUGCACACCAAGAACAUAUCCAUCAUCAAAUCAUUGAAGAAUAGAUAUUUGAUUUCUUGAGGUUUAGUUGAUAUUCUUACAUCAUGUUUAUUAUAAGUUGCUGAUUGCUUAUCGAUUCAAUGAUUUUCUUCAAUAUUGAACAAAGAAACCAAGAGGGAGAAAGAGUAAGUAUUUUUCUUAAAUUGAGUAAAUCCCUUCUGUUUCUUCUUUGUUUGUUGUUUGGUCAUCACCAUUUGCACCGACGAUGUUAAGAGUAAUUUUGAUUAUGGUGAGGAAAAACACAAUUAACGAAGAGCAAAA
rnacentral:lncRNA from 1 species